rnacentral:lncRNA from 1 species
AAAAAGGAGAACAGGAGGGAAGGGUUUCAGCUGCUCUACCUUGGAGGAGGCUUGCCUGAGCCCUGCAAGCUCUUGUAAGCACUGACUAAUACAAAAUUGGUACUGAGAGUGAGGUCAUUGCUGUGACAUUGCCUCACCAUGUGGCUCAAAGGACUUUGGAAUAGGUUCAAGGCAGGAGUUUGGAAAGGUUUUGAGAAGCCAGUUGAAGAGGCAGCCCUAGAAUGCUUUAAACUGUAUUAUAUGAGGGCCUGGUGAGAGCUUGGAAAACCAGAGUACUGAUGGAAAUGCUGCCAGUAAUGGCUUAUCAACGGAGCAGUUCACAACAUGAUAUUUGCCUUCUAUCAGAAGCACAUGGGAAUGCAAAAGAGAAUAACACAAGGUGGCCAUAGCACUGAUACUUCGAAGUUGUCAAAGAUUUUUUCUUUUCCAUUUUUUCCUUUCAUCUACCCCUCCCACUUCCCCUGCACCUUAAGAGAGACUUCUGGAUCACCUACAGCAACCCCAAAGGGAAACAAGAUGGAACAAUCUGAUACUCAACCACCUGGACUCUGAACUGGCAACAAAAGAGGAUCUGGGAAAAAUGAAAUCAGAAAUAAUUACUCAGAUAACAGCAAAGAUUUUUCUCAUGGUGCAAGACAUGAUUAAUAAAUCUAGAGAGGACACA